AAAAAUUAAUUUGGGGGGGCAAUGAGCAGGUAAAAAGGUGACACCCCCCCAAAAAAAUUUAGGAUGGGGGUGAAUAUACAGGUGAAGGGGGUGAGACCCCCAAAAACUUUGAUUUGGGGGGCAAUGAACAGGUAAAAACGGUGACACUCCCCAAAAAUUUAAUGGGGGGGGACAGUGUACAGGUGGAGGGGGUGAGACCCCCAAAAAUUUGAUUGGGGGGGGCAAUAAACAGGUAAAAAAAUGACACCCCCAAAAUGAUGUGUGGGGGUGAAUGUACAGGUGAAGGGGAUGGAACCCCCAAAAAAUUUGAUUUGGGGGGGGCAACCUACAGGUAAAAAGGUGACACCCCCCAAAAAUAUUUUGGACGGGGGUAAUGUACAGGUGAAGGGGGUGGAACCCCCAAAAAUUUACAUUUGGGGGGGGCAAUAAACAGGUAAAAAGGUGACACCCCCCAAAAAUGAGGUUGGGGGGGGUCAGUGUGCAGGUGAAGGGGGUGAGACCCCCAAAAACUUUGAUUUGGGGGGGCAAUGAACAGGUAAAAAGGUGACACCCCCCAAAAAAUUUGGAUGGGGGUGAAUGUACAGGUGAAGGGGGUGAGACCCCAAAAAAUUUUAUUUUGGGGAGGCAAUGAACAGGUAAAAAUGGUGACACCCCCAAAAAUAUUUUGGACGGGGGUAAUGUACAGAUGGAGGGGGUGACAGCCCCAAAAAAUUUAAUUUGGGGGGGCAAUAAACAGGUAAAAAAAGUGACACCCCAAAACCAAGGUGUUGGGGAGGGGUCACUACAAAUAGAUUGAGACCCCCCCAAAAAAAAAAAAAAAAAAUGGGUCUGGGGGGGUCAAAACCAGGUAAA